UAUUCGAAGCACAUAGCGCACAGUCGUAAAUUCCCCAUAAUUUUGGUAUGAUCCGAGCUCAGGCACUAGGCGACUGAGCACAGCACUUACGCAUGUGAGCGAGGGGGGAGAAGCUGCUGCCUGCGAAUUUGCUGUAGGAGAAGUGCAGACAGGCAGACAGAGGAGAGCUUAAGUUUGACCAGGUACCAAAGCAAAUCAUUCGUACUGUACAAAUAGCUAAUGUAAAUAUGACGCUGACAAAAGAUUGAUAUCAAACUGAUCACUUGACCCAUAUUACGUUACUUGCUCUUCGAGUGAAUCAAGAAAUGGCGAAAUGAAAAGCCGAACAACAAUGCUGUUUUUUUUUAGAGAGUCUUAGGUUACAUGUGUGUUUAUUUCAUAUUUUCAGUUGUUACCCUCCACGGCUAAAUAAAGCACUCUAAAUCGGUUUCAGUUAUGUACUGGUGUACACAACAAUGGACAUAAGGGGCUUCUUUCACAGAAAAAAACUCAGAUGGUGGUGAUGCAACCAGCUUGCGGGUAGGGCUUGGAUACGGCUUUGCGAACUUUGCAAUGGAAAACUGUCAGUCCACAGUGCAGGUCAGGUCAUGGGUCCUCCAGCAGGAUAAUGACGCAAAACAUAUAUCUCUGAGCAGCCAAAAAUGGGUGAGAAGAAAACGUGAGACUGUUCUGCGGCAGCCUGAUCUCAAUUAAACUGAACAUCAAUGGAAGGAGCUGAAACUUGCGGCUGGGAGAAGGAAUUCAUCAAACCUAUGAGAACUGGGGCAAUUUGUUCAAGAAGAGUGGACCAGAUUGCCAGUUGCCAGCUACAGAAAGUACUUCAUUGCAGUUAUUUCUGUCUCUGUGCUCUGUAAAAGUCUGGUAUUCCCUUCCUUGUGGCCUGUAUUACCUGGGUGAGGUUCCAGGCUCACCCGGACUGUAUUGGUUAAGCACUUGUGGAUUAUGGAUAUUAAAUAUAUGAAAAUGGUAUGUUAUUGGUCCUCCAGCCAUUUCACAAGCCAAUGACUUAUCAGCUGGUUCUUCCUGCAGCUUCUGAUUUUGUAUUCAUUUAUAGUCUAUUAGGUAGGGGUGAGCAAUCUUGUCCAGAAAGUGCUGUUGUAUGUGUGGGUUUUCACUGCAACUAAUUAGAUUAAUUAGAUUACUAGAUUACUAAUUAGAGCACUGAUUCGCUCAUGAGUCCUCACACUUGGGUUUGAACCGCUAACCUACAGGUUAUCCCAAAAACCUGCAUACAGACCGGCCCUUUGUGGAUAAGACUGCCCACCUCUAAUACAAGGGAAGUGCAUUAAGUCCCGGAGUUGGGGGCCCCAUAGAAAUGCGUGGUUUGAGUGGUGGCAAACACCCCCACUAGAAGGAAACCAGAGAGAGACAUGAACAGAACAUGAAGACGUUACAAACACAGACUCAGGGGUGGGAACCAAACCCACUGCCGACCGAUUCAACCAUCUCAGCUGGAAAACUACUAGUUGUGUUGUGCUGCUUGGCAUUUUUUGAUCAAGAGGUGACUCUGUAGUGAAUUUACUUGACAUUCCCUGACACGUGUGAGUGAAUAUGCUUGCACUUGCAUGUGUACAUGUACCUUGAUGCUUCGCACCUGAGGUGCGUGUCUGAGCUCCAGGCCACCACCCUCCUGGCCUGAAAAGGCAUGAAUAAACUGGCAGCAACAAACCACCCAUGUAUCACUGUGAAGGUCAAAUCAAUACACUUCCAGCUCAGAAGCUCUGUGCAUCCUGGGAAGGUUUCAACACACCAAUCUGUUUGUAUAAAUGUAGUUAUUAUAUAUGACUGCAUAUUUGUGCGUUAUUUAAACAGAGCUAUAUAUUUAAAAGCACACAUAGCAUGUGAAGGACAAAAAUGCUUUUGUUCAAUCUCGGAAAAAGAUACGCAUUCCACAUCUAUCUAUCUAUCUAUCUGUCUAUCUAUCUAUCUAUCUAUCUGUCUAUCUUGUUCUGCAGGGAGUUGUCUAGUUUUGGAGAUAUCGGCUGUAC